rnacentral:piRNA from 1 species
UUUACAUUAUGCCAGGAUCUUUCACUA